rnacentral:rRNA from 1 species
GACGAACGCUGGCGGCGUGCUUAACACAUGCAAGUCGAACGCUGAAGCCCAGCUUGCUGGGUGGAUGAGUGGCGAACGGGUGAGUAACACGUGAGUAACCUGCCCCCUUCUUUGGGAUAACGCCCGGAAACGGGUGCUAAUACUGGAUAUUCACUGGCCUUCGCAUGGGGGUUGGUGGAAAGGUUUUUUCUGGUGGGGGAUGGGCUCGCGGCCUAUCAGCUUGUUGGUGGGGUGAUGGCCUACCAAGGCUUUGACGGGUAGCCGGCCUGAGAGGGUGACCGGUCACAUUGGGACUGAGAUACGACCCAGACUCCUACGGGAGGCAGCAGUGGGGAAUAUUGCACAAUGGGCGAAAGCCUGAUGCAGCGACGCCGCGUGAGGGAUGACGGCCUUCGGGUUGUAAACCUCUUUCGCUCAUGGUCAAGCCGCAACACUUGGUUGUGGUGAGGGUAGUGGGUAAAGAAGCGCCGGCUAACUACGUGCCAGCAGCCGCGGUAAUACGUAGGGCGCGAGCGUUGUCCGGAAUUAUUGGGCGUAAAGGGCUUGUAGGCGGUUGGUCGCGUCUGCCGUGAAAUCCUCUGGCUUAACUGGGGGCGUGCGGUGGGUACGGGCUGACUUGAGUGCGGUAGGGGAGACUGGAACUCCUGGUGUAGCGGUGGAAUGCGCAGAUAUCAGGAAGAACACCGGUGGCGAAGGCGGGGUCUCUGGGGCCGUUACUGACGCUGAGGAGCGAAAGCGUGGGGGAGCGAACAGG